CUACGGGUGGCUGCAGUGAGGAAUAUUGCACAAUGGGGGGAACCCUGAUGCAGCAACGCCGCGUGGAGGAUGACGCAUUUCGGUGUGUGAACUCCUUUUAUAUGUCAAGAAAAUGACGGUAGCAUAUGAAUAAGCACCGGCUAACUCCGUGCCAGCAGCCGCGGUAAUACGGAGGGUGCAAGCGUUACUCGGAAUCACUGGGCGUAAAGGACGCGUAGGCGGGUUGGAAAGUCAGGUGUGAAAUCCUACAGCUUAACUGUAGAACUGCACUUGAAACUUCUAAUCUAGAGUAUGGGAGGGGGAGAUGGAAUUAGUGGUGUAGGGGUAAAAUCCGUAGAUAUCACUAGGAAUACCUAAAGCGAAGGCGAUCUCCUGGAACAUAACUGACGCUAAGGCGUGAAAGCGUGGGGAGCAAACAGGAUUAGAUACCCCAGUAGUC
rnacentral:rRNA from 1 species